UCCGGGGCCGCCAAGCUCGAAGUAGUCGGACCCACUGGUCCACCAUGAGUAACACCACCAAUGUUUAUGGCUUUUGCUUUCAUGUUGACCUCACAGGUGGCCGUGUCAGAAGUCAUUUUAUGCAGCUAAGUCUCCUCCAGCACUGCCUGCCAGGAAAAGUCCCAUCCUUGCACAUCUAAGCACAGCAUCCUUGAGGGAUGGCUAGCUAGGAAGAACGCAGAAAUCCCAGUCUAGCUGCAGAUGCUACUACUCACUCAGCUCCUACCUAUUGCUUGUCACCCAUCAUUCACAGAGCACUUUACCAAGUUCCAGUUAAUCACACGAAGCACAGGGAGUGUGGCUUUUAAACAGAAGAAUGUGCCUGGU